ensembl:rRNA 5S_rRNA 5S ribosomal RNA
GCCAGCAGCCAUAUCACCCUGCAACUCACAACUGGCAACCCACUGAAGCUCAGCAGGUGUGAGCCUGGUCAGUACCUGGAUGGGAGACCUCCUGGGAAAAACUAAGGUUGCUGCUUGAA